rnacentral:rRNA from 1 species
GUAGGUGGCAAGCGUUGUCCGGAAUUAUUGGGCGUAAAGCGCGCGCAGGCGGUUCUUUAAGUCUGAUGUGAAAGCCCACGGCUCAACCGUGGAGGGUCAUUGGAAACUGGAGAACUUGAGUACAGAAGAGGAAAGCGGAAUUCCACGUGUAGCGGUGAAAUGCGUAGAGAUGUGGAGGAACACCAGUGGCGAAGGCGGCUUUCUGGUCUGUAACUGACGCUGAGGCGCGAAAGCGUGGGGAGCAAACAGGGAUUAGAUACCCUGGUAGUCCACGCCGUAAACGAUGAGAGCUAAGUGUUAGGGGGUUUCCGCCCCCUUAGUGCUGCAGCUAACGCAUUAAGCACUCCGCCUGGGGAGUACGGCCGCAAGGCUG